CAUUGAAUGUAACUGCAUUUAUCAGAUUGAUCUCUUCCUCUCUGAAAAGAAGGAUAUUCAAGAAGAUAUUGCUUUUGGAACAAGUGUUUCUAUAAUUUUACAAUACUGCAAAUGUGCAUACAUUUAGUAUUUCAGAUAUAUGGAGGACAGUGUCUUGAUAUAUUUGAGAUUCCUUAUUACAAAUCAUUGAAGAAAUGGUUAACAUUAUCAGGAUUAUAUCCACUUAGAAAUACUAUUAUAAUUUUAGUGGUGAUUUCCAUUAUAAGCGUUACUCUGCCAUUGAUAUUCGCAAUAUACACAUCAUUAUGUGCAAAAAAUAUAGAUGCUAUGCUUGAAUGCUUACCGCCUUUAGGUGUAUGCGUAGUUGCUAUGUUUAAACUACAAAAUAUAUAUAACAACAGUGAAAACUUCAAAAAAUUAUUUACAUUUGUGGCAAAACAAUGGCAUCAGUUGAAAUUAAACAAUGAAAUACGAGUCUUGGAAGAAAUCGUCAUGCAAGGCAAUAAAAUGGCACAAAUAUAUCGAAGUACGAUAUCAUUUUUGAAAUCCAAAUAUACAUUAUUGGUCGCUAUGGUAAUUUUCUUUUCUGUACCAUUAAUUUUUCCUAUUUUGGACAUUGUUUAUCCUUUAAAUGAAACUCGACCAAGACAACAAUUAUAUAAAGUUAAUUACCUGAUCUUCAACCACGAAGAUUAUUAUUUUUACGUAUACUUUCAAUUAGUUUGGAGCUCAUUUGUUUGUGUGAUAAUCAUAAUUAUUUUUGAUUGGUUGUAUAUUCUUAUAAUUCAUCAUAAUAGUGGAAUGUUUACAGUAUGUGGAUAUCAGAUUCAAAAAAUAUUUACCGAAGAAGCUUUUUCCAAUAUACGUAUAUACGAACAAUUUAAAAAUUGUUUAAUCGUACACAAUGAAGCUAUUCAGUUUUUCGAUAUUUUAGAUGAGAGCAGUCGAAAUACUUAUUUCUUUUUAGUUGGAUCAAAUAUAAUAGGAACAAGCAUGUCAGCUGUACAAAUAGUUUUAAAUUUAGAUAAAUUGGAGGUGGCAAUUAAAAGCACUGUAUUUCUUAUAGCUGCCCAAUUUCAUUUAUUUAUUCUUAGUAUACCUGGACAAAUACUUUUGAAUCAUUAUUCUAAUCUAACAAAUAAUAUAUUUAUGUCCGCAUGGUAUAAUAUGCCAAUAGAAGUUCAAAAAAUGUUUUAUGUGAUGCAAAUAAGAUGUAACAAGCCAUGUUCAUUAACGGCAUGUGGAUUAUACGAAAUGAAUAUGGAGAACUUUGGAACAGCUCUAAAAACGUGCAUGUCAUACAUCACUAUGAUAUUGUCGUUGAAAUAAUAUUAUCCAUGUAAAACAUCAAGUCACAUUCAGAUUUAACAAAAAUUUUUAGAACAAAAUAAAUAUGAUUGUAUAUUGCUAAUAUAGAUGUAUGUAUUGAAUAGUUUAAAUUAUAUUAUUGAAUAUAAGAAUAAAACUAUCAAAUUACAUUUGUUAUAUGUUGUAUUUAAACGAAAGAUUAAAUAUCUUACCAAAACUUCACUUUGUGUCGCAAAUAUAUUCACUGUUUCAAUUAAGAUGAAAGAAUAGACGAUAAAAGCGUUAAGUAGAUCAAAUCAAACAAUUAUCAUUUUUGUAAAGUUACAAUAAGUAUUUAUAUUCUAAAAAUAAUUAUCUUAGAUACUUUCUUUAGUUACAAAAAUUCUUAGUUAGAAGUCGGAUACAAUUGCAUUUACUACAAAAUGUUACAAACAGAAAUACAAAGAUAUUUUUAGAAUUUAUAAGAAUUCAAUACAGUGAUAUGAUAAUCUUCGGUUUAUUAUCGAAUUACUAUCGAACCUUAUUGAAGCUACUAAAUAUAAAUCAAUAUUUCAAGACAAUCAUAUAUCUUAAUUUUAUUGCAUAAACGGAUGCCGUAAAGUUAUUGGAAAAAGAAUUUUCUUAUGUACGAAACAAUUGUUCCCUCGUCUGGAAAAUUAUACUUUAAUCUAUAUGUGUCAAGUAAGUGAAUGAUUCGUAGUCAUUUUCAGUAACAUCAAGUAUCGUGUUCAAUUGCAUUCGUCAGAUUGAUUUUUACAGUUUUAGAAAGAAAAAUACGCAUAGAUUUAGACCACCAUAGAUUCAUUUAAAGACGUUUACUUCAUACUGGUCGUACAAGUUGCAACGUUGCUGUCAUGGAUAAACUUUCAGUAUUUCAGAAAAUU
rnacentral:misc_RNA from 1 species